CAGCGUUGCAACUGAAAGACAGGAGUGACAGGGGAGAGCAGGGACAAUGGGAACCCCCAGUGGACAAGGUGGAACCUGCCUUGGCCUCUCUGUCUCCAGGCUCCAACCUGGCUACCCAGGAGGCCUGCCUGCAGGAGGAGGCACGCUUCUGCCCUGGAACUAUGCUGGCUCACACCUGGCCACAGUUUGGAGCAGCUGAAGGAAGGAGUCUUCUGGGAGAUGGGAGACUGGGGAAGAUCUGAUGGUAGGUGUUGAAGGUGGCUUCUAGAAGCUGGAAAAAGGCAAGGAAAGAUAAUCCUCCCGAGAGCCUCAGCCAGCCCUGCCGACAUUGAGACCUAACCCAGUGACGAUGAUUUUGGACUUCCCACCUCCAGAACUGUAAAAUAAUAAAUUUGUGUUGUUCUAAGGCAUUAAGUUGGAGAAACUUAUUAUGGCUGCAAUAGGAAAUAUAAUGGGGGAAUCCAGAUAAAAGGAGAAUCCAGUCCAUGAAGGAAAGGGCAUGCCAGGGUGAAGCAAUAACGCUGUUCUGCAUGCUCCCAAAUCCCAUCAGUGAUCUUCUCCCCAACCUUCAAGGUCCAGCAGCAGCCUCCUCUCAGAAGCCUUCCUGGACCACACCAAGCAACUGGCUUCCAUGCUGAUCUCAUCAGAGAAACUACAUACUGGUAUAGAAAGAUAGGGCCUCUUGGGGAGGAAGUGAAUGUAGCCCCAGCCCUGCUAAUCCAGAGCCUAGCACAAGCUGCCCUUCCUUGUGGAACACCUGGCACCAUAGUUACCAUCUGUGCAGACCAUGGUGCCUUGGAGUUUCAGCCAUUCAGAAGAACAAAGUAGGCCCAAAGGAGGAAAGAAGGAGGUACACAGGCAGUAUUCCUUCUAGCGAGGCUAGUGUGUGUUGGCCUGAAGGCCCAACAGGCAAGAUCUAUCUCUCCAAAGGGGAAGGGACCAUCCUAGAAUUGCCAAUAUGGCACCUGUCUGCUCCCUUCCCACCUCCCCUCACCAGGUUGUGAAAACUUGACCUCACAAUCCUUCCCCUGUUAAGAGAACUUGACCUCACAAUCGUUCUCACAUAGAGUUCCAGAAGGCCACCACCAAGUGGUUGGAACUUGCCAUCCCUGCCCCAGACCUUAAAAGUAAGAAAAGCAAUAAUUAAAACGGCUUCACCAUUUGCAUAACAACCACCACUAUGAUUAUUACUGGCAGGAAUCAUCAAUGGCUGCCAAAAUUACUGCAAAAAUGUAUGAUGGGGAACAGUGUCUCUGCAUAAUCUCAAAGCAUUUCCUCAUAAGACACAUAUUAAUUAUAAAGGAAAAAAAUCAUAGUUUACAUAUUUUAUAGUUGAGAAAACUGACAGAUACUACCUUAAUCAUGUGAUAAAAGUGGACAUUGCCAGGAAUGACCAUCAUGUUCCUCUUGAUACACUGCACUGAGAAGGACACAAUGUCACUGCUGUGGUCUCCUGGCAAAAAAAAAAGCACAAUCUGAAUCUAAUCAUGAAGAAACAUCAGGCAAUCCUGAAUUGGGACUGUCUGCAAAAUAACUAACCUGUACUCUUCAAAAGUGUCAAGGUCAUGAAAGACAAAGGAAGACUGAGGACCUGUCAGAGAUGAGAAGAGUCUCAAUUGGUAUCAGAAUCAAAGAAACUGUGGGGUCUUGGAUUGGAUCCUGGACCAGAAAACGAACAUUUGCUGACACAUUUGGUAACAUUUAAGGUCUGUAGCUUAGUUUAACAGUAUUGGUCAAUGUUAAUUCACCAGUUUUGAUUCUUGAACUAUGAUUAUGUCACAUGUUACCGUUUGGGAUGCUGAGUAAGGGCACAUGGG
rnacentral:lncRNA from 1 species